UACGUAGGGGGGCUAGCGUUGUCCGGAUUUAUUGGGCGUAAAGAGCUCGUAGGCGGUUUGUCGCGUCUGCCGGUGAAAGUCCGGGGCUCAACUCCAGAUCUGCGGUGGGUACGGGCAGACUAGAGUGAUGUAGGGGAGACUGGAAUUCCUGGUGUAGCGGUGAAAUGCGUAGAGAGUGGGGGAGAACACUCGUGGCGAAGGCGGCCAGCUAGACCAGUUCUGACACUGAGGCGCGACAGCGUGGGGAGCAAACAGG
rnacentral:rRNA from 1 species